rnacentral:rRNA from 1 species
UACGAAGGGGCUAGCGUUGCUCGGAAUCACUGGGCGUAAAGCGCACGUAGGCGGACUCUUAAGUCGGGUGUGAAAUCUCGGGCUUAACUCCGAAACUGCAUUCGAUACUGCCGUGCUUGAGGACUGGAGAGGAGACUGGAAUUUACGGUGUAGCGGUGAAAUGCGUAGAUAUCGUAAGGAAGACCAGUGGCGAAGGCGGGUCUCUGGACAGUUC